CGACUCCUGAUUAACAAAGGUACUAAGCCGAAAAGAAAACGAGUGAAUGAAAAAAUCUGUGGAUAUUGUGUUUAAUAAUGAGUUUGUGACUAAAAAUAAUAAAUAGAAAUGUUAAAACGUUUGUUUUUCUCUAACAGCCUCAAGAGACGUCAGCGGAGUAAAAUCAGCUGCUCUUUUACCAAAAUCCACCAUCAAACCUGCAGUCCGGAGCUCUUCUCCAUCUACAGCCAGUGUUUCAGACGAACCAGCUGAUCAAUCCAGCAAAGGUGUCAACUGGCUACUCCAGCAUGAACCAGUCGUGGUAAGGCAUCUGUCCUAGAAGAAUUCUUUGCUCUGGAAUCUGCUGCAGACAAGCCCACAUCAGAUCACAGCAUUCUGUGAAAAACAAAAGGAGAGGUCUCAUCAUCUGCUGUAAGACUCAGAGCAGAAUCAUCAGCGGAGUCAUCUUGUGAGAC